rnacentral:rRNA from 1 species
GACGAACGCUGGCGGCGUGCUUAACACAUGCAAGUCGAACGGUGAAGCGCCUUCCUUUUUGGUGGGUGUGGAUGAGUGGCGAACGGGUGAGUAACACGUGAGUAACCUGCCCCCUUCUUCUGGAUAACCGCAUGAAAGUGUGGCUAAUACGCGAUAUUCUGGGUCUGUCGCAUGAUGGGUCUGGGAAAGAUUUUGUUUCGGUGGGGGAUAGGCUCGCGGCCUAUCAGCUUGUUGGUGGGGUGAUGGCCUACCAAGGCGGUGACGGGUAGCCGGCCUGAGAGGGUGGACGGUCACACUGGGACUGAGGCACGGCCCAGACUCCUACGGGAGGCAGCAGUGGGGAAUAUGGCACAAUGGGCGGAAGCAUGAUGCAGCGACGCCGCGUGAGGGAUGGAGGCCUUCGGGUUGUGAACCUCUUUCGCCAGUGAAGCAGGCCUGCCUCGUUUGUGGGUGGGUUGACGGUAGCUGGAUAAGAAGCGCCGGCUAACUACGUG